rnacentral:SRP_RNA from 1 species
CUAUUGAUCCGUUUGUUGACGAUGAAACCUUGUCCUUUGGGAUCGGGGGUGAUGAUCGCAUAUGAUCGGAGGGUCAUAUGUUCAUCUUUACUGUGGAAACCGGGUGAGGCACGGAAGUGAGCAGCCUUACCACAAACUGCUGAUGCUCAAAGGGUUAACGGGGUUGAGAAUACAAACGGGCAGUCAUUAG